AAUGAUCAAAAUUUUCAUAAGUCUAAACUUAAUUGAGAAUUAAGUGUUAUGAAAUAGAAUUGUAACUCAAUUAAUUGACAUUGCAUAAUUCUUUGGGCAUAUGGGUUAGCUUGAAUCAAGUUCCUAGGAUUGGGUUAGACCUAAGGUUAGAAUCAUACAUGGACUAAUAGAAUUAAUUAAUCAAAUCUAAUUAAGUAGUAACUAGAUUAGGUCAAGAAAAUUCUAGGUCAAUUUACAAUAGUUGUAGAUGGAUCAAGUCCAUGUCUUUGAUUAGACCAAGAUGGAACUUGAUUUAGGCUUAGAGGUGUAGUCCGAGUCAUUUGAGUAAUCAAAUCGAAAUUGAUUAACCAGUCGGUGUCUAAGGUAAGUUUGGCAGUUUUGACCGGUGAUUUUUAAUUGGAAGCUACUCGCACUGAUUCGUCUUUGUCGAGUUAAUGGCAUAUCUCUUCCACCGAUCUCACUUACCUCGCUGACAUGGUCAUCACACCUAUUGCUGGCUAAGUAUGGAACCCAAUGGGUCACACAUAAGAAAACUGAUCAAGGGUCUAAUUGGAUUAGAUCAUGUUUGCAAGAUAAACGUCCUAGCAGGUGUUGCAAACCUUAGCUCCUGAUUCGAAUUGGAUUCAAAUCUGAUUCUUAAUUGAUCUAAUUUGAUUAGAUCAUAUCCUAAUAUGGGUUAGCCAAGAGUUGGCACCUAAUUGGCUUGUUUUGAG
rnacentral:lncRNA from 1 species